CUCUGGUUAAAUGUCGGGUGCCUAUGUCGGAGCUUUCCCGCCUUGCUGACCAGCGAACAAGUUUUGUGGAUUUCGCUAUGAGGGGGACGGAAGGCAGUACAGGUGAACACACAGAAGCCAUCGGGCUGCUUCAGAAACUGUGACUGAGCAUUAACCUACAUACAGAAAGGAGCCAAGCGGAGCUGUUUAUGGGUCACGCACACCGUUAUAUAAGAGGGCUUUCAGCACUUUUGACAAAUAUGUU